UACUUUUUCUUUUCCUUCUUCUCACCACCUCCGCCUGAAAAAUCUGAAGUUAACUAUUACUGUGACUGGCUUUGAACGUGUGUCAUGAAAGUUUGGGCCAUUAAUUUAAAGUAAACUUGGCAAUAAACACAACUAUUCCUUUCCUUCUGCAGAAGCAUGUGAGAUUUUCCUCAUAAGAAUGUUAAUCUUUAUCUUAAAAGUAUAAUGUUUGAUCAUUUUCUUUCAUAGCAAAAAGGGGGAAGUUUUCUUCCCAUAGCUCUAAUUUAUAUCAUAAAUUCCUUUGCGUAAUGUAUACACCGUAUUCAAAGUGACACUCGGUCUUGCUUGCUUGGAUUACAUUCAAACCCUUUCCCUCUGAUGGUUCUAUAUAUUAUAUUCAGACUAAAGGCAACUGUGUUGCAGUUCAACCAACCUUUAAUUCAUUUUUCAGAAUUCAGACACAGGAGAUCCUUGACUUGGAUUUACACAUUGUUACAAAGGAAACUUUCUGGACUACUCAGUAGAUUAGGAACCAGCAGCAAGAAUUGCUGCAUGAUAAAUUUUGUGCUAGGUUUUUGGAGGGCACCUGCUUUCCAUGACUGCUGCCACUGAGAAACACAGCUAGCUCCCCAUUGCGGGGCACCUGAAACAGGAAGAAGUUGCUCCACUUCAGUCUCUUGGAAAUGGGGUACUUCACUUCCCAUUCAGAAAAAAAGGGAAAUGCAGCAUUAGUGUUACCAGUGAACUGGUGUGCUAAAGACAUGUUAAUAUAAAAACUGAGCUCACAACUGGUUUCCAGUGUAGUGCACUCUCUUUCUAUAUUAUAUAUGCUUUCAACCUUAGUUUUGGAAGUCCUGUUAUAGAGCUAUAGGAUGAAGUUCAACACAGUUCACUACAUUUAGUUUCCUUCAAAAAUUUGUGUAUAUUUUGCUUUGAAAAUUUUGUGCCCUUGGGGAAAUUUGCACCUCUUUCUUUUAAGAUGUUCAAAGUACACAACUGUAUAUUACCAAGAUUGCUAUUUAGGGAAAUGGGGGUCUUCCAUCCCUUUUUGCUGGAUCUGGCCAUCUAGUCCAGCAUCCUAUUCUCACAGUGCCCAGCCAGGGGCAUUCUCUCCUUCUGCUGUUUCCAGAAACUGGUGUUCAGAAGCAUACUGCUUCCAGCAGUGGAGGAAGAAAUAACCAUUGGCAUUGGUAGCCACUGAUAGCCUUAUCCUCCAUGAAAAUUAAACAUUUGUCAUUGUGUUCAGUCAAACAUCCUUAAAGCCCAUUUUCAUACCUUUGUCCUCACACCUGGAGUUGUUGGGUGUGGGACUUGCAAUGUGUGCACCUACCCCAUCCCUGGUUUUGCAGCUCACAUACUCAGCUGAAUGCCUGAGCACAGCUUAAACCUAUGUAUGAAUGUGUUCAAAGAUUCAUACCAUUCCCUUCUAGCAAAGUUAGAUUCAGAGUCAACUUUCAAAAUAAAACAAAACAAUAAAAUACCAGCAGCUUUAAAUCAGCAAUAUAUCAAAAUAGCAUAAAAUCAUAUAAGAAGACAACAAUAUAAUAUGAAUGCAUGUGUCCUUCAAGCCUGGAAAGAAGCCGAGGCCAACUUAUUUUGAUUUAGCCUAACUUUCCUAUGCUCCCAAUCAGUGCCGGCCCAAUCUUCUUAGAGAUGGCAAGUACCACUGUGAAGUUGUCCCUCAUAAGUGCUGAUCAGCAAUAUCCCUUUUUCUAUAAAUUGAGCAACAUGUUGAGGUGAAAACAAUGGGACGCUGUGUUUUGGGGUUGCAUUCCCGCGCAAGAUCACAACUAUUGCAUGAGAGCAUAGCACCCCAAAACGUGGCCCUGAUAAAAGCACUUUUUCGGGGCAAGAUCACGGUGCCCAAAAAGGCCACUGUGCUUUCGCGUGAAAAAAUGGGAUGUCAUGGUUUCCCCAGGACAGCUGAGGGUUAUGCUGUGGUGUGCCACAAAGUCCCCCUUUUCAAAUGUCGUCUCCACCAUAAAUGAACAAGAUGCUCUUAUAACUAAGGUUGGCGCCAGCUUCACCUCUGUUGUGAGGGUAUUUCACAAUCAAGAAGCGAUUGCUUUGAAAGACCCUCAAGGCUUAUGCAGUCUAUUGCCUCAUAGCCUUAGCAUCUCAGCUGCAAUGUCGGGACAAUAAUACUGAUGUAUCUUCUAAUAGUACUGAUAUAUCUUAAUACUUGGGAUGCGGGUGGUGCUGUGGGUUAAACCACAGAGCCUAGGACUUGCCGAUCAGAAGGUCAGCAGUUCGAAUCCCCACGGCGGGGUGAGCUCCUGUCGCUCGGUCCCUGCUCCUGCCAACCUAGCAGUUCAAAAGCACAUCAAAGUGCAAGUAGAUAAACAGGUACCACUCCAUCGGGAAGGUAAACAGCAUUUCCGUGCACUGCUCUGGUUUGCCAGAAGCGGCUUAGUCAUGCUGUACGUCGGCUCCCUUGGCCAAUAAAGCGAGAUGAGCGCUGCAACCCCAGAGUCGGUCACGACUGGACCUAAUGGUCAGGGGUCCCUUUACCUUUUUAUCUUAAUACUUUAAAAAAUGAGCAUUCUAAACAACUAUAUUAAUGUUGUUGUGGCCAUCAAAAAAACAGGGUAGACUCACACAGACUUAAGUGUUCCAGUCCUCUGAAAUCUGUAGGCUAUUCAGUUCCCUCUAUGGCACAGGUGGUGAGCUGUUUUUCACCGAAAGGUCAUGUUCCCUUCUGGGCAACCUUUGAAGGCUUACAUGUCAGUAAUGCACAGAGCCAAAGGCAAAGAAAGAUAGCACGACAAAUGUGAACUGUACCUUUUGUACAGUAGGCUAGUUUCUUCACACUCACACAUCACUCUCUUUCUUUCCUCCAUCCAGGCAAGCAACAGGCAUUAUGGAGUUAAAGGACACAUUUCAGUCAGGCAAAGACACUCAAGGAAAGUGUGAAGCAGAGCCUGUGAUUGUUGUAGCCUGGUUAGAGGGUGGGUGGGAAGGGAUAUUGCCUGGGCUAGAAUAUGGAGGAUCAGACCGAGAGGCCCAGAGUGCUUCAUUUGGCCCUGGACCAGAGGCUCUUUGUUCCUGUCCUAGAGAAUGAUAGCCCCCAAUGGCACCAAUCAAAUCCACAGCCAGUGCACCACCACAGAAAGACCCUGGUCUGGUUUAUCACACAACGUACCUUACUUUGGGUGGGACCCCAGGAAGGGCCUCCACUGUCAAUCUUGAUACAUGGGCAGGUUUAUUAUAGGAAGAGGUUCUGCUUCAAGUACCUGAGUUCCAAGUCAUUCAGAGCCUUAUGUUUUAAAGUCAACACUUCAACUUAGGCCCUGGUAACCUAAAGCCAAUGUGGAGUAGAGGUUAUAUUACAGGACUAAGACCUGGAUUGUGAGUUCCCAUUCAGCCAUGAAGACCACAGAGUGACUUAGGGCCACUCUGCCAAACCUAUCAGCCAAACCUACCUCACAACAUUGCUGUGAGGAUAAAAUGGGGAGAACUAUGUGUGCCACCUUGAACUUCUUGGAGAAAAGGUUGUCUAUAAAUACAGUUAAUAAUAGUAAUGAGACCUGACCUAAUCUUUGUAUUUCAGCCUAACCUACUUCAUAGAAUUAUUGUAAGGGAAAUUGUGUUGGGGGGGUUGUACAUGCCCUGUAUGCCACCCAAUCUCUUUGGAAGAGAAGGGAAAUUUUGUAAAUCAAUAAAAGGCCUUAGUUAUGAAUGCAUUUGGGGGACAUAAAAUCUAGCCUAUGGAGUUUGUCAGAGAACAUUCUGAAUGUAUUAAUGUCCUUAAAUAACCCAUUUUGCUUUGAGAAGCAAGCCAACUUGUCACACCCAGUUCUGGAUUCCACAUUAACAACCUCCUUCCGCAGCAUUAAACUUUGCCCUUGAGGACUUCUUUUUACUUUCUUCUAUUCUUCAGUUCCCACUUCUGUUUGUUUUGUCUAAUAUGUCAUUAUUUAGGGGGAUGCACAGAUAGAAAUCUUUGGAACUGGGCUAGUUUGAGUUUGAAAAUAGAAAUUUUUAGAGCCAAAAAUAAAAAGACAGGCGUUUUAAAGAUUAUUUGAAUAACCUUUUGGCCUAUUUCUGUGCUGCUAGCACAGUCAAAACGUGUACUAGAGAAUAAAUGUUUCUGUUCUCUUUGAAAUAUUCUGAACUCCAGGACUGGUGUUUUUUCAAUGUUCUUUGAAUCCCAAAGAAAGACUUGCCAGGAGGUUUCUUUUCUUUUCUUUUUUAAGUCCCCUUCCGCAGCUAGCCCUGGAUAUAGGCUGACAUUCUCAAAGCAAUGUAAUUGCCAUUUCAGACUUCCUGUUUAGGAUUCAGUCAAGUAGAUAUUGUUUAUGGUUCAUAAAACCUUACUACUGUGAGGAUUUUAGGACACUGGCAGUAUAGAGCUUCAACUUUCAUAGUGCUGUAAAUUAGGGAGGGGGGAGUGUGAUAAUACUCCUCUGAGGACAUUAAAACAGAGCUCAGCAAUGGUUAAAUGGAAUUUUAUAAGCACAUUCAGUGUGGAACUGUUUUGCAUUACAUGAGUUGAAUACCUUAGAGAUGACACACAUCUGCAGGCACUUUAUUAAAUCCUUAGUCAGCACUUUUCAACCUGAUGAGAUUACUUCUUCAUUUGACUGGAGAAAGGAAAGUGAAGAUCUUGUACUGGACUGCAGAAUUCUUCUUGAUGUUUCACCUUCAGCAUGGGGGGGAAGGACAGUAAAAUCCAUUUUAGGACAACACAGAAUUGUAGUAGCCCCGGGUAUGGGCAAAAAAAGAGAGAAGUCUUAAUGCAGGCCCAGUAAAUGGUCUGGGCAUUUCUUAUACUGCAGAUUUUCUGAAGCUGUUCAGAUGUGGACCUGAGUAGUUCCUUGCACUAGAGACCACUGGGAAUCCCAUAUAAGACCAGAUACUUAAAAAAUUGAAAUAUUGAAUGCAUUUCUGAUUGCAUAUUACCCAACAUGCCAAAAAAUUCUUCCAGCACAGAUACUUGUUUUUACAACUUAGACGGAUCUGUGAAUCGCAGACCAAAUGUGAGCAUAUUUGUGGCAGCAUGUGUAAGUGCAUUUAAACACCCCCUUUAUUUUGAAGCUUACAUUUUCUUUCAAUUGUAAGGCUGAAAGUUUGUCAAAAAGAUAGUUUAGCUGCUAUUCGAACACAAUCCAAAAUAUUUUACCCUCACACCCGGAGUGGUGGAAAUAGGGAGGGUGAAGUUUAAAACGCUACCACAGUAGAACCACUGCCUAUGGACUUUUUUUUCUGUGAGACAUUAUGAAUUUGUUGUGAAUCCAGUAAUUGCACAUGCUCUUUAAUGCAUUUGAAAACAAAUAAUAAUCAAGGGUGGUUGCAUGUUGGGGGGGGAGGCAGACUUCUGACUUUGUAAACAGUGUACUGGGGCAUCUUAUUCUGGAAAAAAGUCAGUUGGUAGUCAGUUGAGUGUCGAACAUCUCUGCAAAUGAUUUUUUAGUGUCCAGUUUGGCCAGGAAAGAGUUAAUCAGCUUUCCAUUGUGUCAGACGUGAGUGGUGCCUCCAGGAGUCAUAUUGACACCCCCAGCGCAGGGUAACUCUAUUCCUUUAUUGACAUGUUGCUCCUCAAGAACACAACAGCACUGUCUGCAAAUCAUUGCUAAAAUCAUCUU
rnacentral:lncRNA from 1 species